rnacentral:tRNA from 1 species
GGGGGUAUAGCUCAGCUGUAGAGAUUUGAUUGCAGAUGAAGUAGUCCUUGGUUCAAAUCCAGGUGCCCCCC